rnacentral:rRNA from 1 species
GACGAACGCUGGCGGCGUGCCUAAUACAUGCAAGUCGAACGCAGGGGGGACGGGUGAGAAACACGUGGGUAACCUACCAUCAGAGGGGAUAACACUUGGAAACAGGUGCUAAACCGAUACUGAUGGAUGGACCCGGGGUGCAUUAGCUAGUGGGUGAGGUAACGGCUCACCAAGGCCACGAUGCAUAGCCGCCCUGAGAGGGUGAUCGGCCACACUGGGACUGAGACACGGCCCAGACUCCUCCGGGAGGCAGCAGUAGGGAAUCUUCGGCAAUGGACGAAAGUCUGACCGAGCAAGGCCGCGUGAGUGAAGAAGUUUUUCGGAUCGUAAACCUCUGUUGUUAGAGAAGCGGUAUCUAACCAGAAAGCCACGGCUAACUACGUGCCAGCAGCCGCGGUAAUAC